rnacentral:rRNA from 1 species
AGUGAACGCUGGCGGUAGGCCUAACACAUGCAAGUCGAACGGCAGCACAGUAAGAGCUUGCUCUUACGGGUGGCGAGUGGCGGACGGGUGAGGAAUACAUCGGAAUCUACUUUUUCGUGGGGGAUAACGUAGGGAAACUUACGCUAAUACCGCAUACGACCUACGGGUGAAAGCAGGGGAUCUUCGGACCUUGCGCGAUUGAAUGAGCCGAUGUCGGAUUAGCUAGUUGGCGGGGUAAAGGCCCACCAAGGCGACGAUCCGUAGCUGGUCUGAGAGGAUGAAUCGCCCACACGGAACUUGGGACAGGGCCCGGACCCUACGGGAGGGCGGCGUGGGGAAUUUUUGACAAUGGGGGGAAGCCUGAUCCAGCCAUACCGCGUUGGUUGAAGAGGCCUUCGGGUUGGAAAGCCCUUUUGUUGGGAAAGAAAAGCAGCAGGUUAAAACCCCGCCGUUUUGAAGGUAACCAAAGAAUAAGCACCGGCUAACUUCGUG